UGCCUGCGACCCCGGAAGCGGAAGGCUGGCGGGGGGGCGCGGUUGGUCACCUCCCCGCACGGCCGCCCAGCCCGGCUCGGGGCAUUCGGAGGGACCGCCGGGGCUGGAGCCGACGUGCGGCUCCCCGCCGCGGGCCGGGAGUGAGAGCCGAGCGCUCCCCGGCAGCCUGCCCCGCGGAAGCGAGCGGGCGUUUCCUCCCAGACGGGGAUGCUCACGCGCCUCCGUCGCCGGCGCCCAAGGGGGACGGAGGGGCAGGAAGGAGGGGCGUGUUGGAACGUUCCCUUCCGUGCUAGAAAGCAACGCCGAGCACAGACCUCGGAGCCACACGCAGCCGGGCUGCAGGGUGCGGGGACACCCAGCGGGGCCUCGGCCCGGACGCGGAAGGCAAAGAAAAGGGGAGCAGGGUGCCCGGAAGCCGGAGGCUCGUCGGGUUCCUUUUGUUGUCUGGGCAGAAAUUUACUCUUACUGAAGAGUAGGUCGGCCGGCAACUUGUCUAGGGAUGUUUUGGGGGUUUUCGUUUGCGGCUGUUCCAGCUGGGGAGGGGUCCAAACAGCAGCACCCCGCCGAGGAGAAGCGCCGUAGGGAAGGGAGUGGCACCUGCGGUCUCACCGUCAAUGACUCGUUAGUGUAGGAUGCCGGUCCAGCACGUGAGAAUGUCACCCAGUGAAGCAGUGUUGAGGGCAGGCACAAUCGGAGACUUGAAACAGGUCCAUUUUCUCCUGAACAUUCUGAUGGUGAGAAGACAGACAACCUUGAGUACAGGGACAGAGACCUACUCGUUGUGCCUCCCAGCCUCGGAAGCCCCUUCCAGCAGAAGCUAAAAACCCCAGAUGGUCGCUUUCCCAGCCUUCCUAGUGGCUGCGGAGUGAACUUGGCCAGAGUUCAGGCCAUUCGGCAAAAUCGGGAGCCAGCAGUUGCAGGAAAGCGAGAAGCCCAGGAACCUGGUGUUCGCGGUGAUGACGGCCGCAGCGACAUGGAAUUUCCAGAGGCAGGGGGGAGGCCCGGCUUCCUGGCUCUUCACCGGUUUGGGGCUGUGAUACGUGUCCAGCUGUUGUUCUCGUUGCUCCCUUGUACCUGCUGUCCCUGGCGUUAUGCCGCAUUCUCUUUGGGAAUUCUGUGAGCUCGUUCUUUCAGCUUAGACCCAGCAGAGCGCAUCUGUACUGUGUACAAUUGUCUAAGACAUGCUGUGCUUAAAAUCUUCUUUUUAAAGACUGAAAGGAGUUUGGGUCAGCGAAAGAACAGGGUAUUAAAAAACAGAAAAUGAAAGACAGCAAAAAUUCCAUGAUGCUACAUUUUUAGAGUGUAGGAAGGUAACAUGGUGGGAUUUUCUCGUUUGGUUACCUUCCUGUGUGUUUGAAUCCUUGUUGAGGGCCGGGUCUGGUCUAUCCUGGACGGGAGGGAGGAUGUGGAAACCAGACCCAGUGGAGGACUCCAUGCCCCCUGAAUUCCCCCGGAGACACCUUUCUAAAACAAAGCAGUGGGGGCAUUAGGUGGAGAGGCCUCUCGGAGCUGCUUAGCAGAGCCAAGGAGAGAGGCCUGGGACACUGCUGUGGUAAUGAUGGCAGGGGUGAGUUAGAGUUUAAGGGCAGGGAAAGGGGUGACAUGACUCCAGGGCUCCUACGCUGGGAGGGCGUGUUUCCCUGAAGGCUGGUGCCACCUGGAGGGGUGUUAGUAUCUGAACCAGUUGAGUACCGGGGAUGGAAGCACUGGACCUGGCGGAGGUGUGGGUGCCAGAGCCCUUCCCUGGGGGUUGAGGGGGUCCCUGGGCCCUCGGUCUGUGGGGCUCGGGCAGACCUGGGCCGGCACUACACCCUGGGUCCCGUUUAUCACCGGGGACCGAGGUUUUUCACUCCUCUUGCCCACUUACCUCAGAAAUAUUUACCUUUGGUCUAUUAAUGAAACGAAAGGCAGGAGAAUUGUCUCUGGUAGGUGUGAAACUAGUAUUACUGAAUAACAUGUCAGAAAAACAAAACAGUACACUUUCAAGUGAAAUACACACUUAACAAGAAGAAGUGAGACUGUCAUAUGAUACUGUGAAAACUCAGCCUCUCCUUUGGGACAGGUAGAUGGCUUGUACUCCUCUUGCUGUUUAAAAUGAUGCCACUGAGAACGUCUCGUGUACACGUUUCCUGCGCCUCUCGGAUCACUUCCUUUUGAUAGAUUCCUUGAAAUGCUUAAACCACGGUACGCUGCUUUUUAGACGCUUACAAAAAAGGAACCCUCGUAAAAAAGAACCAAAACUUCUUUCCUAGAAAGUUGAUUAAAUCAAGGGGUCCAAGUCAUUGUGGCGCGUGAACUUGUGUGGUCUCAGUCACACUCACCAGCCGCCAUCUGUAACCCUGGGUCUGGGGCUGUGGCUCAGGUCUGAGUGUGUCUGGGACACGAGAGGUGGUGAACCAGAGACACCCGCUCACCUCGCAGACGUGGGCCGGGGCCUGGAGGCCUGGAGGGAGCAGUGGGCUGGGACCUUUGUCCUGGACGCUGCGUGGUCGUGGUCAGCAUCCGUUAAUCGGGGCCUCGCCUGUUCUUAACGACAGAAGUUUAGGACCAGGACGGAGACGCCAGGAGAGGCCACAGUGAACACGACUCCAGCUAGGAGCCUAAAAUCAGCAUCUUGCCGUCAUUUUCUCCAGGUCAAGUCAGAUAAAGCACCUUGUUCAUUUUCUUUUUUCUUGUAACUUUUACCUUUUCAAAUCAACUUUAUUAAGGUCAGUUUAUGAAAGAGACAUACACCAUUUUGAUAUCUUGACGAAUGUGAGGUGAGAGGAAGAGCAAAUGGCGCUGGUGCUGCCCAGAGAGCCCCUGAAACAACCGGGGUCCCCGGGGAGCAGGGCUCGUGCGCCCCUCAGCCUGGCUGGGACCCGAACUCUGACCGCCCGGCUUGGCACAGGCGUCCAGGGCACCUGCACAACGUUCCAGAGGCUCAAGACUCUUGUCGGCCCCUCGCCCUAAGCUGUGGCAGCCCGUCCUUUCUGGGUUUAUGGUUUUAGCUUCUACAAUUAGGCCUGUGAUCAAAUUAAAUUUUGCACAUGGUGUGAGGUGAGAGUCAGUGUUCAUCCCUCCCAUAUGGAUAGCUACUUGGUGAAAAGACUUUUUCUCACCCAUUAAAUCACCUUGGCAUCCUUACCGGAAGUGGCUCGGCCCCGUGUGCGUGGGUGUAUUUGGUGCCCGGUUCCAUUCAGGUGAUGUGCCUCGUAUUUCAGCAGCACCGCGGUGUCUUCAUCACUGUAGCCUUGAGAUAAACCUUGAAACUCGGUCGAGUAAGUUCUCCAACUGCUCCUGUAAAAACUGCUACGGCCUUUUGGAUUUCCAUAUGCAUUUUAGACUCAGCUUAUCAUUUUUUUAUAAAGGAGAAGAGCCUGCUGGAACUUGGGUGGAUGCAGGAGAAAAGCGACGUCUUAGCAGUGUUGGGUCUCGCGGUGACGUGCGGCAGCUCUCCACUGAUCUCAGUGUUCUUCCCAUUUUUUAUCAAUGCGUCAUAGUUUUCAGUGUUUGUCAUUUUGUAUAGUUUGUAAUCUAUCUCUAGGUCGCACAUUUGGGGACUCUGUUUCAGAGGGGGUUGUACUUUUAAAUUUUAUUUCUAGUUGUCUGCUGCUGGAACACAGAGGCGCGGUCGAUCUUGUUUAGUGACCCUGCGUCUCCUGAUGGUGCUGAGUUGGCUUCUUGGUUCUCGCCGUGUAUUUUGAAGAUCUCUUCAUGUGUUCUGCCGGUGUGAUCGCGUCAUGUGUGAAUAAAGACUUUCUUGUGUCUUCA